UUAAUAGCGUAUUCGUUUGACGUUAGCGACAGAAAAGACACCGGCUAACUCCGUGCCAGCAGCCGCGGUAAUACGGAGGUGCGAGCGUUAAUCGGAAUUACUGGGCGUAAAGCGCAUGCAGGUGGUUUGUUAAGUCAGAUGUGAAAGACCCGGGGCGUCAACCUCGGAAUAGCAUUUGAAACUAGGCAGACUAGAGUACUGUAGAGGGGGGUAGGAAUUUCAGGUGUAGCGGUGAAAUAGCGUAGAGAUCUGAAGGAAUACCGGUGGCGAAGGCGGCCCCCUCGGACAGAUACUGACACUCAGAUGCGAAAGCGUGGGGAGCAAACAGGAUUAGAUACCCUGGUAG
rnacentral:rRNA from 1 species